rnacentral:rRNA from 1 species
AUUCCCUUAGUAACGGCGAGUGAACAGGGAAAAGCCCAAAUUUGUAAUCUGGCACUUUUUACAAGUGUCCGAGUUGUAAUUUGUAGAACUGUUAUCCGCGCUGGACCAUGUACAAGUCUGUUGAAAAGCAGCAUCAUUGAAGGUGAAAAUCCUGUAGAUGAUAUGGACUACCAGUGCAUUUGUGAUACGGUUUCUAAGAGUCGAGUUGUUUGGGAAUGCAGCUCAAAGUGGGUGGUAAAUUCCAUCUAAGGCUAAAUAUAAGUGAGAGACCGAUAGCAAACAAGUACCGUGAGGGAAAGAUGAAAAGAACUUUGAAAAUAGAGUUAACAGUACGUGAAAUUGCUGAAAGGGAAACGUUUGAAGUUAGUUUUGUAUUCGUUGGAUCAGCUUCGCAAGGAGUGUAUUCUGAUGAUAAGCAAGUCAACAUCAAUCUAUGAGUGUCGGAGAAGGGUUUUGAGAAUGUAGCAAUUUUUAUUAAUUGUGUUAUAGCUUGAGACUUGGAUACGAUGCUUUGGAUUGAGGAACGCGUAGUAAGCUUUGAGCGGAUUCGAAAGGAUCUCCUUACUAUGGAUGUUGGUGAAAUAACUUUAAGCGACCCGUCUUGAAACACGGACCAAGGAGUCUAACAUGCUUGCGAGUAUUAGGGUGUUGAAACCCGAAUGCGUAAUGAAAGUGAAUUUCAGAUGUGAUCCGCAAGGUGCAACAUCGACCAGUCUGGAUCAUUUAUGUGAAGGUACUGAGUAAGAGCAAGUAUGUUAGGACCCGAAAGAUGGUGAACUAUGCCUGGAUAGGGUGAAGUCAGAGGAAACUCUGAUGGAAGCUCGUAGCGGUUCUGACGUGCAAAUCGAUCGUAGAAUCUGGGUAUAGGGGCGAAAGACUAAUCGAACCAU